rnacentral:sRNA from 1 species
ACGUUGCACUUUACCUCAAGAAGUUCCCAGUCUGAGAAAUGCUACACUCCCCGCUGCCCUGUACUGGUGGCAAACCCAGUGGGGACACUCCAGAUGUCUUCAUCAGCUACCGCCGGAACUCAGGUUCCCAGCUGGCCAGGUGAGGAGGGGCGGGCGGGCAGCGAUGGGGCGUGGGGACAAGGCUGUGGCACUGACACAGGACUUACUUGCAGUCUCCUGAAGGUGCACCUGCAGCUGCAUGGCUUCAGUGUCUUCAUUGAUGUGGAGAAGCUGGAAGCAGGCAAGUUCGAGGACAAACUCAUCCAGAGUGUCAUGGGUGCCCGCAACUUUGUGUUGGUGCUAUCACCUGGAGCACUGGACAAGUGCAUGCAAGACCAUGACUGCAAGGAUUGGGUGCAUAAGGAGAUUGUGACUGCUUUAAGCUGCGGCAAGAACAUUGUGCCCAUCAUUGAUGGCUUCGAGUGGCCUGAGCCCCAGGUCCUGCCUGAGGACAUGCAGGCUGUGCUUACUUUCAACGGUAUCAAGUGGUCCCACGAAUACCAGGAGGCCACCAUUGAGAAGAUCAU